CCUACGGGUGGCAGCAGUGGGGAAUAUUGGGCAAUGGAGGCAACUCUUACCCAGCAAUGCCGCGUGCAUGAAGAAGGUCUUCGGAUUGUAAAGUUCUUUAAUUGGGGACGAAAAAAAUGACGGUACCCAAGGACUAAGCCUCGGCUAAAAACGUGCCAGCAGCCGCUGUAAUCCGUAGGGGGCAAUCGUUGUUCGGAAUGACUGGGGGUCAAGGGUGUGUAGGCGGUGUAGAAAGUUAGGAGGGAAAUACCUAGAGCUUAACUCAGGUGCUGCUUCUAAUACUGCUAUACUAGAGUGCAGAAGAGGAAGGUGGAAUUCCUGGUGUAGCGGUGGAAUGCGUAGAUAUUAGGAAGAACAUCGGUGGCGAAGGCGACUUUCUGGACUGUAACUGACGCUGAGGCACGAAAGUGUGGGGAGCAAACAGGAUUAGAUACCCUGGUAGUC
rnacentral:rRNA from 1 species